AGUGAACGCUGGCGGUAGGCCUAACACAUGCAAGUCGAGCGGCAGCACAGUAAGAGCUUGCUCCUACGGGUGGCGAGUGGCGGACGGGUGAGGAAUACAUCGGAAUCUACUUUUUCGUGGGGGAUAACGUAGGGAAACUUACGCUAAUACCGCAUACGACCUACGGGUGAAAGCAGUGGAUCUUCGGACCUUGCGCGAUUGAAUGAGCCGAUGUCGGAUUAGCUAGUUGGCGGGGUAAAGGCCCACCAAGGCGACGAUCCGUAGCUGGUCUGAGAGGAUGAUCAGCCACACUGGAACUGAGACACGGUCCAGACUCCUACGGGAGGCAGCAGUGGGGAAUAUUGGACAAUGGGCGCAAGCCUGAUCCAGCCAUGCCGCGUGGGUGAAGAAGGCCUUCGGGUUGUAAAGCCCUUUUGUUGGGAAAGAAAAGCAGCAGGUUAAUACCCCGCUGUUCUGACGGUACCCAAAGAAUAAGCACCGGCUAACUUCGUG
rnacentral:rRNA from 1 species